rnacentral:lncRNA from 1 species
CCACUCUCGCUCGCUCGCCCGCUCGCGCCCUCACCUAGCCGGAAAGGUGGGAUAAGGGGGGGCCCCUCACAUGGGGCCCGAGCUCGGAGGCGGCCGGGCGGCGCGGAGUCCUCCUGGAUCGUGGCAAUGGGCAGACACAGAGCAGAAAGUGGCGGACUUGGGCGGCCACAGAGCCUUUAUGACCGAAGAUGGAACUGAAAUGCCAUCCUGUUAUCAAGAAGGAGCAUAAGAACAGCUAGAGGAGAGAUGCAAGAUUGAAAUAUCAUGGAAUGGACUAUGGUUUAUCCUCUCUUCUGGUCGUAAAACACCAUCAGGUUGUAAUUGUUCAGAUCAGAAAUUCCCAAGCUUUUAAUAAAGCCUUCAGGGAGCCUCAUCCAGGGGCAACUGCCCUGUCAUUGGGAAUAAGUAGAGUGUGUGGGAAAUAUGUUGUCCUUGGUAAAACCUCCCCUUAGGAAAGAAGGCAAGAGAAUUGAGUAAGAGAAUGAUGGGCCAAAAGGAGAAAAUAGAGAAAGAGGCUGCAUGCUACAGAGAACAAGAGCAAAAUUCAAAAGCCUGGCACAGUUGGGCUUGAAACCAUCUGUGUAAAGGGGACUAAUAAUGCUGACCUCACUGCAUCACAAAUGACAGAGUUUAAAAUGAUGGUGUUU